AUUGAACGCUGGCGGCAGGCUUAACACAUGCAAGUCGAACGGUAACAGGAAUUAGCUUGCUAAUUUGCUGACGAGUGGCGGACGGGUGAGUAAUGCUUGGGAAUCUGGCUUAUGGAGGGGGAUAACUACGGGAAACUGUAGCUAAUACCGCGUAAAAUCUUCGGAUUAAAGGGUGGGACUUUCGAGCCACCUGCCAUAAGAUGAGCCCAAGUGGGAUUAGGUAGUUGGUUAGGUAAAGGCUGACCAAGCCGACGAUCUCUAGCUGGUCUGAGAGGAUGACCAGCCACACUGGAACUGAGACACGGUCCAGACUCCUACGGGAGGCAGCAGUGGGGAAUAUUGCACAAUGGGGGGAACCCUGAUGCAGCCAUGCCGCGUGAAUGAAGAAGGCCUUCGGGUUGUAAAGUUCUUUCGGUGACGAGGAAGGUUGAUAGGUUAAUAGCCU
rnacentral:rRNA from 1 species